UACGUAGGCAGCGAGCGUUGUUCGGAAUUACUGGGCGUAAAGAGUGUGUAGGCGGUGCUCUAAGUUCGGUGUGAAAUCUCCUGGCUCAACUGGGAGGGUGCGCCGGAAACUGGAGUGCUUGAGCGUGGGAGAGGAAAGCGGAAUUCCUGGUGUAGCGGUGAAAUGCGUAGAUAUCAGGAGGAACACCUGUGGUGUAGACGGCUUUCUGGACCAUAGCUGACGGCUGAGACACGAAAGCGUGGGUAGCAAACAGG
rnacentral:rRNA from 1 species